UAAGAAGAAAGAAUGGAAGAGUUACACAUAGUAUAUGAUAAUCACCCUGGCUAUUCUUCUCCAAAACAAGCUUUAUGAUAUAUCCAAAACAGGCUAUUCAUCAAACAAGUGUAACGGCUGAAACAUACGCUACUGAAACUCCUUCUAUAUAAUCAUUUAGUUCCAUCAUUCCAUCUGUCAAACCAUUCAUCUCUAAUAUCUGCGAAAUUAGAGCAAUUGGAUCUGCUUCAGCUACCGUCCCUGUUAUUACUGGGAGAAGACUGAACAUUGCUACUUAAUGGAGUCUGUUGGAGAUCCAUUAUAAUUGAAAAUGAGUAUUUAAAGAUUGGAGUGGAUACAUUACAAGACUUCCUUAAAUAGUUCCUUACCAUAUAUUGAACAGGUGUUGGACUAUCUUUUUUACCCAGAGAUACAUUUCAGUGGACAUUUGAUCAUGAGAUUGCAAAUCAAACACUUCAACUUUAUAGGGUAGACACAUUUACUACAGAGGAAGAGGUCUGCUAAGGUUGGACUAUUAAUAGAAUGAAUUAGAGGACCAAUUGUGAAGAGAAUCACAGCCGAUAGGGAAUUGGUGAUUGCCGUUUUACCUGUCUGCUAACAAGCUAUGGAAGGUGAAAGAAGAAUCCUUGCUCGAUCAGAGGGAACCUUAAGAAAAUUAGAUCAUUGCAUGGACAGUUCUCUAAUUCCUCUAUCUUUUCUAUUUUUUUUAGCACUUUCAACAUGCAUUUGUUCUAUUGAUCUUAUACGGCUCUCUAGGCUCUAGCAACUUGAUCUAAGACGUAUGGUGAGAUUAAAAUGGAUGCCCCUUAUGUAACUCCUUUUGCCUUUUCCUUUUUUGCCUAUAUUGUAACCUGUUUAUACUGUAUGGAAAGAAGAGUUUGCGAAUGAGGCAAAAAAAGGUUCAAGUCCUUUUUUCCCCAAUUCAAUAAUGGUUGUCAAGGGUGGAUUAUGAUUUUCC